GAAUCCCAUAUUUGACGCUGUUGAAAUUAUGCUUUUUUUUUAAACGACUAUAACGUAAAAUAGUGUGUAAAAUUACUACGACAUUGUGGUAACGUAAUAUGAAAGUCGUACAGUUCUGAAGUAUUCAGUGUUUGUUCAAAAAACUGUAAUCAUAUGUUCGAUGGUUUGCGAUCACUUUCGUGUGGCCAAAAAUGUGAAUAACACCUUUUAAAAAAUGCAGAUGGGUCUCUAUUUUUGCAAAUAUGCCAAAAUUGUGGAUGUCAAAGAGAUGUUCCGUUGGUUAUAAUUGACCAAGCCAUUAAACUUCAAUCAAAAGUCAAGUGCUUCCGGGCGGCAAACGGAACGUGACAGGUCUGCAUUGCAGUAGUAUCAUUAGAACACAAAAAUAAAUCAUAUUUCAGUUUCAUCUGUGCAACUGGACUUUCAGGGCAACAACAUAUUACAACUUGCAGACUAAUCAGCUAACGCAGUGACCCAUUUGCGAGUGAAGUUAUUUGACUUGAUUCGGAGUCCACUUCUCCUGUGCUAUUAGAAAUUGUGUGUCUUCCCAACUUUCUAAUGAUAUUGAGAACAAAACUGGGGGUACUAAUUGCUGCAUCAGCAAAAAUGCACAUAAACACACAAAUUGUGUAUAUUAUGUAAGUACUAGUUUAUUUAGGAUUUCAUUAUGUGAAAACAUUUUUUUAAUGAACUGUGAAAAGAUUUUCCUCCAACUAUCACAUUCACUGUUACAUUAUGAAUGUUGAAUAUAUCGUUGACCAAAAACUUUACAGUUCUUAGAUAAUAGAAAUUGUUAAAAUUGAGUGUCAUCAAAAGUAGUCAGAUAUUUCUUUACUAAUAAUCUGCUGAGUAGGAGUGUAAGAUAUCAGUUAGUCAGUUCUGUUCUUUAUUUUUGUAUUCCAUAGCUUUUUUCUCCCCCAUAUAUAUUAAAUUUGGAGAAAGUGUAGACUAUAUU